rnacentral:lncRNA from 1 species
GCUUUUGUAACUGACAAAGGAAAGAAGAGAGGCCACGAGAAACAUGAAGUAGCAGCCAACACAUGUGAAGAGCUGUGUAUCUGAUCAUGCUUCGUACAAUAUAUACAAGCUGGCAGAUCACGGAUCGAGUUAACACAACCAGAACACCCGCACAAAAAAAUAAAAAGACAACAUGAACAAACUUUUUAUUCCACGCACAUAUACCCUUUUACAAAUACUGGAAUACCGUAACGGCAAAUGACUAACUGAAUGCCUGAAGCAUGCAUGCACGAGGGAGGGAGCCCAUGCAUGCACGCGACUGACAUAUAACAUAUUGUAAUUACGAGGAAAUAUAUAGGUGCAUGCGUAUACGAGAAAACAUUGUAAUUGCAAGUACGGCGAUGAUGAUGAUGAUGCAAGUAUGAAAUGCAUGGUUUGUGAUGGAUGGAUCAGCUAGGGCAGGUGAAAUCGGCAGGGCAGGUCUUGCCGCACUGGUUGAGGAGGAGAACGAGGUCGACAGGGACGUUGAGCUUGAUGCCGAGGACAUUGGCCUUGAUGGCGGUGCAGAGGCACACGGCGGCGUCUAGGUCGGCGAGGCCGCUCAGAAGGGGGCAGCACUGCUCGUCCGUCGGCACGCCGAGGUUUAGCUUCAGCAGGUUCAACACGUUGGCGCAUACCUUCAGCUUCAGCGUGUCGAUGGAGCAGGUGCCGCCCCCGCCACCGGACGAAGGCGGAGACGGCACGGGAGCUGGUGGGGGCACGGCGAUGGGCGGGCUUGGGACUGGGACGGGCGGUGUGUUGCCGCAUGACCCGCAGCCAUGCACGGCCAAGAGGAUGGCCAGGUUCAUGGCGAGGAAGAGGGCGAGCUUGAAGGGCGCCAUUGCUAUGUGGAUAACACUAGUAGCUAGCUAGAGUGUACUGGCUUGUGGCUGAGCGCUAGGUGGGCUUUGCUAGCUUGGGAUGCUUUUCCUGGGUUGCUUGGGGUGGUAUUUAUAACUAGGCCGGGGUGUAACGUGCAAGUGCAUCGUUCAUGUCAUGAUCAGUUGAGUUUGACUCUUGCCGUAAUUUGAAAACAUUAUUUUCCACCACUAGCGCUGCUGCUACUAUUAGUACUACUACUGCUAUAAUUGUACGAUAUUACGUGCGUACCAUUAUUGGAGUUUAAAAUGUUAACUAAUUUCCAUGUACUCCAAUAUGCAUGUAUUUAUUGAUGGGUUCACAAAUUCGACAAUAAUUUAGGCAUGAGACAUGAUAUUCUAGCCCGGGAUAUCAUUUAUAUGGAUCCACCGUCCACCAUUGCUUUGAAAUUGUGUUGUGUUUCCUCGUUUUGACAAAUUUGUCUUGUUUCAGCGUGUUAUGUUAGGUUUUGCUCUCAUUUUAAAGUGUAUCAUAAUGUUUCAUUGUGCAACAAACUCGAUCUAAAACAAGUGCACCCUUAUUUGUCUGUACACAACGAAACAUGGUGAUACACUUUGGAAUAAUAAUAACAACUAACGGAACUUUAUGAAACAAGAUAAGUUUUGACAACAGUAAAAAAAUAGCAUGAAUCUCAAAGCAAACAUGGACGAUGGGUAGGCGAUCAUUCUCCUAGAAGACACACAUACUAUGUGAUAAUUGAAAUAUAUCCGGCAGCGCUACCAGCUGGCAUAACCUGAUCUUGAGGUUCGCUAGAGACAAAUUUAGGAGAUUAUUAUGUCGGUUUUUAUUCCAUGUAGCCAUACAAAUGCAUGCUACUACCAGCGCAGGAGAUGUCUACUUUAUGUUUCGUCCUUUGGUUACACGUACGCUACAGCUAGCCGUCUAAUUAUUAGUUGAUCCUACACCAGUGGGCAGCGGUGCUCACAGAUAAUUCCAACACUGACAAAGGAAAUACACUAUCAUAGCUAGCUUACAAUACUCUUGUGUGUGAUAGAUCUAGACCGCCGUGUGAAUAAGGGCACGUGAAGAAAUUGAUAAUUGUCUAUUUUUGCUGUCAAAAAUAAAUGUAUAGUUAAUUUUUUUAAAUCUUUGGAGACUAAAACUUUAUUUCACUCUUUAAUUUGAAUGAAGCUUCUGCUCUUUGAGUAGGUAAUACUGUAGCAUUUAAGGUACUCAGAUUUAAAAUGUUUUAAGGCACUGAGAUUUAGUAAAGGGGAAAAUAUGCUCUUUUUAUCCGCGGACAAAUUGUAUACCUCUGUUGAGCUUCGAGUUGAAAUAAAUGAAUCUAGUAUCUGUUGUUUGCAUGACACUACUACUAAUAUGUAGAAAACAAAUUAAUUACUAGUAUAUGCAAGGAUGAAUCUAGCUUAAUUUUUUUUAUGGACUGAUUUGUAGCUAACAUAUUAUUUUUGUAUGCAAGGAUGAAUGGGUCAUGCUAUUCAACUUUUUAUGCGAAGGAUAAUGGGAACUUUGCCUCGAAAGAUCCUUAAUCGGCCAGCCACAGAGUACGGCCCGUCUACUAUUAGAGUUUAGUUCUAUGCAAAAAUGUUUUCUAUAUAAUAUAUUUGCGAUACAAAUGUUAAUGCGUGAAUAAAAGAUGUGAAAUCAUAUAUUGCGAGAAAAUUCAGACAUGUUCAUGUACCUCAGUAUGAAUAUCCAUAUUUGCAACAAGUGCUCAGGUCAUGUUUAAAAUGUAUUCCUAUGUACGAAAAACAUGUUUUUAAUAAGAGUUAUUCUUGCACAUCUGACUAUAUAUUCAUAUGCUUUACAAGAAAACAUACAAAUGAUGAGAAAAUGAAAAAAUAAAUAUAAAUAGGCAAUGAACAAAGUAAACAUAAAUGAAAUACAAGUUUAAAGUAAGCAAAACACAAAAAAAUAAUUGAAAGGAAAAUAUCACACAAAUGUGAAAACCCAAAAAAUGACACUUAGAACAUGAGUGAGCCCGCCCAUGCAUAUUUACUUUGGGAGAAACACCCACUCUCCUUUGUAUAAAGUGUGUAUGAGCGAAUGGACAACCUGGUUUGAAAUGGAAAUAUGUUAGCAGGGGAAGGAGUUUGCAAGAAAACCAAGAAAAUAGAUGGCCAUUUUCAUUACGCGGGGGUGAUUCUUAAAGACUUCUAUCACAUUUGCUCGAUCACCCCUCGAGGCGUAUUCUACUCUUCUUCUAGGGAUAAACUGGGAUUUUAUCAUCUUUUCAGGUCUUACAACUAUGGAAACUAUGUACACCACCAAAAUAACAAUGCUUGUAAAAUAGGGUUUGUCGUGAUGAAUUCUCCUGUGCAUGGAUGCAAGUAUGUGUACCACUAUAAGCUCCCAUAUUAUUUUAUUGGUAAGUGGCAAUAAUGAAGGACAACCUAAACUGUGUAGACCCAAAUAAAACUACUAGCCGCACAUCAUCUAAAACCCUCCGCCUGCUAAACUCAAACCACACUCAUUUUAUUCGAAAUAGGAUUUCCUCCCACUUUAUAAAUCAAGCAAUCACCACAUCCUGACAUGUAGUUCAAGUACAUGAAAGAAAAUAGGAGGUAUGCUAGGGUGACAACAUAAACAUGCCCAAAUGCAAAAUAAAAAGUGAUGCAUGAAUCAAUGGAGUCAAAAGAUCACUGGCCAGGGGGCGAAGCGAGUUGGUGGCCUGCCCCUAGUCGGUCCUUGUCUCGCUUCCUACAAAGAAGGUACCACUACUACAAGAGUCGUAAGCGCACCAUAGAAACACCAGCUUGAUAACCAUCUUGUUACAUGUACUAUGUAGAGUCUAGAUCAUCAUGAUGAACACUACCUAGAAGAUGCACCUCCUCGUACCGAUACGUUGGGACUGAGCCUCUAUGAACUUUUGCCCAAUUCAAAGGCCUACCACUCAGGCCCCGGAGACUCACGAACAAAGCUCCCUAUGAACGAGCACCGGUAAAAGAACUAAAAAUGUGGAUCCCAGAAAGGGCCAUACAAAGAGGGAAAAAUCCAUUGCCCGACAUAAGCCGUUGCGCCAGCUAAGCAUCUAAGGGGAGGAAAUCAUGGAGCUUCUACCAAGCGAUGAUUUUGAUCUUCAGAGGAAGAGGCGCUUUCCACAAAGGUGUGGUCCAUGCAAGGGUUGGCGCAUGGCAUAAGGCACGGUAUGACGACAUGACUGGAUAGAGCCCCAGGGAGCCAGGUGCCAAGAAACAACAAUUAAGGACCCCCACAAUGAGGGAGCAAUUUCCCCAUCGCUCCCCUCUCCGGCAAAUUGUAUAUGCAAAUGUUUACGUUUCCUUGGGGCCAAAUUUUUGUCAGAAGAUGUUAUGCUUCCCAUUGUUGGCUGCCGAGGCAACCAAGAGCAUCGGAUCCGAGCAGAUCGCAAAGAGAGCCAUGAAAUCAUCGCAUAACGGGGUCCUGCCGAACCACGGCUUGAGCAAGAAGAGGGUACCUUUCCCAUAGGAUUUUAAAUUUCACAAACCAGUUUGACUAUUUACUUUGGGUGGAUGCACAUUUGUAGCAGUGCAAGUUGCUCCCUUGUGACACUAAUCCGCUCCACAACAUGUGACCCAACCCUAAGAGAGGCAUCGUUAGCACAUACUUUCUUCGUCCAGGUUCAUAAUAUCAUUUUGAUCAUAUAUUUGACUAAUAAAAUACAAGUUACAUGCAUAAAGAAUAUAUCUUUAUAUUCAUAUUCAAGCAAAGUUUCAAAUGAUAUUAUUUUACUACUAUAACUCAUAUUAUAUUAGCUAAAUUUAUGUUUAAAAUUUGACCCAAAAUAUGAAAGGCUAAUAUUAAGGGAUGAAAUAGAGUACCUGAGAUCCCAAUUGUGCUCGCCCACCAAUCAAUGGGAUCGACGGUCCAAUCGCCAGCUUAUCUUUGGACGAUCACAUGUGCCCGUGGAGUUACACCAUGAUCCGCAAUACAAUAGACCCGUCGUCAUGCCGCCCCAUGGCAGCCAUGCUGUUGAGAACGUUUGUGUUCGUGAUCUUUAAUGGACGAGCCGUCAGGAUUUUGAAGUGUCAAAUUAGGUAUUGCUUAACUUAGUUCGGACCAUGUAGUUCAAGUCGGCCAUAAAAAAAUACGAACGGAGUACCAUGUAAAAGUGAAUAAACAGGUAGUCUCCCGUGCUGGCCGUGCCACGCAUGCCAGCGGCCUAGCUUGGUGACCCAUGAUAUCCGAUGGUUCAGAGACGACGUGUCAGACCAAAUCUACUUUCGCCGUUCUUAAAUAUAAGUCUAUUUAGAUAUAUAGUUUGUUUUCUUUUCUCCGAUGGUUCAGAGACCACGUGUCAGAUCAAAUCCUUUAGAUAACUUGCUAUGUUGCUGUUGUAUUUGUUGUUUACUAUCUCUUCUUUCUUUCCUUAGUUUUGUUUGUAUCUUCGAUGUAUAGUUUGUUUUCUUUUCUUCAGACCUUAUUCUUUGUACUAUAUUUUUUUAAAAAUCAAUAAAAAUACGCAGCAGAGUCCUGCUGUUUCCCUAAAAAAAAAGUCUAUUUAGAUAUCCCAAUGUGGACUACAUAAGAAGUAAAAUGAGUAAAUCUACACUCUAAAAUAUAUCUAUAUAAAUUCGUAUGUAGUCCUUAUUGAAAUAUGAAAAGACUAUUUAGGAACGGAAGGAGUAUAUAUGCAUGCACGCCGUUCUACGUACACUAGAUGUUAUGUUCAGAAAAAAUAUAUACACUAGCUGUUAGGUCAAACGGAGACAUUUUAUUCUUCAUUUCACACGAUCGAUCGGGAACAGCUAAACGUCUACGUACGCACGUCCAGUUACUGAUUAUUUGCACGAAUCCGCAGCUCAUUCACGCGUCGAUCGAUCGUUGUCAAAUGGAUCUCUACCUUAUCGUUUAUGCAAGUGGUCUCGAAGUUUGUGCAGUGCUGGUACUCUAACAUAUAUUACUGGUUAGGUUUAUUCUUUUUCCUUGUAGUUUUGUAUGGUCGAUCAAGAGUUCACGUAUGCAUGGACAUAUAUCCUUCCAUGUCGGCAGGGUCGCCUAGGUAGCGAGAGACAUAUACGCACGUCGAUCUCCAUCAGUUCGGCAGAGAGGCUCUACAUAUCUAGCUGUACAUGUGGUGGAGCGAUAUACUAAUGAGGAUGCAUCCAAACAUUGCUCUCUCUAGCUGCUAGAACUUCCCGUAUAUGUACAAACAUUGAGUCAAUUCGAUUGCUACUAGAAGGGAUUACUUCUAGACUAUGACACAAACUAGAGAGUUGACAACUUGACAUCCAAGAAAGGUAGAGCGUAUCUGACAGGAUGGAGUGCAAAUGGCCUUACAAGAACUGAUAUUUUCAGCAUCAAACGCUCGAAAAUAGUUCGUUUCUAGCGGAUGGGUUUCAGUCUUCGUCCAUUAUUUACCUAUCCAGUGUACUUUCUUAGUUCACGAAAUUUUUGAUGUUUUAAACAUUGACACGAAGUGUAACUUUGACCACAAGUUGAUACAUAAAUAGAGGUACAACAACAACAAAAUAAAUUAAACUUCCCAAUACAAAUUUAAGCAUAUGAUUUUCUAGUUUAAAAAAAAUAAUAUAACAUAGAUUUUAGUUGAGAGGGAUAUAAAAGAGAAUUGGUGGUCGAAAUUUUCAACUUUCAUUUAAGAUAAGUCCAAAAUGUUGUUUUUCUGUACGGAGGGCGUACAUAUUUUGAGUCCUUUACAGUACAUUAAAUUAUUCUGGGCCUUUUUUUUGUGAUCCAGCUGCCCGAAUUUGACAAUACACGGAAAAAAUCUGGUAGUAUAUUUGGACAUCAAGGGCACAUUAGGCAAUUUACUGUUAUAAACAGCAAAGAAAAAUUCCACCAAGUUCCCUCCAAAAGCGAGCUAAAGUAGAUUAUGGAUUUCAUAUUAUCAACGGAUGAACUCGGCUACCAUUCGUGAUUUGCUUUGGAAAUCGUGCCCUGUCCGGGCCGAAUUCGUCUCGAUGUUUGCAUCGGAAGUAUUGGUAGAAAUCUCCAAUCGAAGGCAGCUACUAAUCGCGAAUGUCCUAAGCCGCGCCUCAAGUCCUGAGACAAUCAGAGGUCAAGCUAGCCAAAUCGCACCACAUCCUUUCUAUUAUACUUCUGAAACCAGUGUAUAUACUACUCGUUCCGUUUCAAAAUAGAUGACUCAACUCUAUACUAAAGUUAGUACAAAGUUGAGUCAUCUAUUUUAGAAGGGAGGGAGUACACGUCAAGUACCAUAUGAAUUAGUCAUUACUACAAAAAGGGCUAUAGAUGGAAUGGCCAGUAAUGACGCACCUGUGAUGUGGUGCGCCAUUACUAUAUUCUAAUGGCGCACCAUGUCACGGUGCGCCAUUAGUAAUAUAUUAUUAAUGGCGCAUCUGGUGUGUGAUGCGCCAUUAGUAGUUUUGAAAAAAAACAUAAAUUUUUUUUGUUACUAAUGGCGCACCGUUGCAUAGUGCGCCAUUACUAAUUGACAUAGUAAUGGCGCACCACAUCCGUCGUGCGCCAUUAGUAGUUUUGGAAAAAAUAAAAAAAAAUAAAAAAAAUUUGUUACUAAUGGCGCACCAUGUCUCGGUGCGCCAUUACUAGUUUUAACUAGUAAUGGCGCACUUUUCAUUGGUGCGCCAUUACUAAGUUUUUUUCAAAAAAAAUCAAAAAAAUAUCAAUUUUUUUAUUUUUUUUUCAAAACUAGUAAUGGCGCACCGUGGGGUGGUGCGCCAUUACUAGUUUAACACCGAAUGCACACCCCCUGGAUCGCCUUUUCAGUUUUAGAAAAAAUAAAAGAAAAUGAUGGAAAUGUCAAAAAAAUAAAGGAUAAUAUGUUUCCCAUGUGAUAUGUGCUCUAGUUUUUGGGAAAAUUUACAAAUAUGAAUUUCGACUUUAUUUGCAAAAUCUCUCUGGAAAUUUGUAAAAUGGGCAUAACUUUUGCAUACGAACUCGGAUGAAAAAGUUUUUUAUAUGAAAAAUCAUCUACUCGAAAAGUUACAUCCAAAUUUAACUGGGGAACCCCGUUAAACAUUUUCAAAAUCCCCAAAAACCUAACAGAAAAAAGUUACGGGGCUUUCAAGAUCUAGCGGCAAAAAAAUUCAAAAAAUUUCAAACUUACUAGUGGCGCACCGUGGAUGUGGUGCGCCACUAGUAACAGAAAAAAAAUUGGUUUUGAAUUUUUUUUUGAAUUUUUUUUCAAAAAAUGAUACGUAAUAUGAUCGGGAAGUUUGAAAUAUUUUUCAAAAUUUCAUCAUAGUCAUAAACAAACAAAGUCCUAGACAUCAACAAGGUAUAACAGGAUUGAUAUGCUAGAUAUAUCAACAAGUGCCUGUGAAGUGAGCUGUUGCUGGGGUUGGAUAGAACUCUAAAGUUAAGCGUGCUUGGGCUGGAGUAGUGUGAGGAUGGGUGACCUUUUGGGAAGUUUGACCAUGGAGUGCGAUUUGACCUGAGAUUAAGCAUAUUGACCCGAGAUUAAGCCAUAGUGAACUGAGAUUAAGAAAAAAUUGAAAAAAAAAUUUAAAAAAUUUCUGAAGAACAUUUUAAAAUUUUUUUGAAAAAAAAUGUUACUAAUGGCGGACUUCUAUGUGAUGCGCCAUUAGUAUACCAGAUACUAAUGGCGCACCAUGUAGUGCGCCAUUAGUAUAGCCCACGGUGCGUGCUAGUAAUGGCGCACCGGUAGUGCGCCAUUAGUAGGCAAAACCGGUGCGCCAUUAGUAGGCCUUUUUCUAAUAGUGAGUACUGGUUCUCACGUUAGAAGGUUGAGUGAUAAACUCGUUUCCAAGAGACGACGACAGGCAGAUGGAUGGCUGGAUGAGGGGGAAGCAGGCGGAGGCACGUAGGCAGCACCGGGACGGUGGAGGAGACGCUCCAGUGUGCGGCAGGCAGUGGGCGAUGGCCAGCAACACGUGUCGUGAAGUGUUAACUGCAUCAGCGGCUGUAAUUGUUAGAACAAUCAUAGAUUAAUUAGGAUCGGUAACAUUUGAAAGAACAAACAUGAUAUUAGGCUAACGGGAAAUUACGAAGUUGACAUUCAGCCUAACUACAAGUCGAAAUAUAUUAACCAUUGGGUCAAGUUAAUACUACUACACAAUAAAUUCCGUAGUACAAUGUACCCUAAAAACUCCCUAAAAUUUUGCCAUGUAUCCCUUCUGUACUGAGGAUUUUAUGCAGAGAGGGCCACAAUUAAGGGACUGGACCAAUAUAAUUUGUAGUUGUUUUUCUGCAAUAUUUUGUAAGAAUAGAAUUGCAACCUAUUAUUUUCAUGAAAUUAUUGAAUGAAUUGAACUGUUUUCUAGCACUCUUGUGUAUUUUAAAGGUUUACUGGUUUUGGUAAUUACAAGAAUAAGUAAAUGGGGCUAUACUAUUGUUGUAACACACGAUCAUGAAACUGAGGGAACUAGAAAGCGUAGUAUUAAGAUGCCACUGCUAGUUUCCCAAGAAAAAUACUCCCCCAUUUGGAAAUACAUGUCCUUCUAGAUAUACGAAAGUCGAACCUGAACAACUUUAAAUCACAAUAUGCAUGUGAAAUGUUAAUGUUGUUUAAAUGAAAAAAAUAACAUUAUAUUUGUUGUAUUUUUUAUAAUAUUAAAAUAUGUAAAUUUUGACCAAUAUAUUCACAUGAAAAGCAACUGUUGACAUAAGUUUCGUAGGAAUUUAAAAGAUAGAGAACGUCCCUAGAAAUUGUUGCAAGGAUAAUUAUUCCUUCAUCUGAAAGGACUAUGUAGGACAUUUUUCUACACAGUUUCAUUCUUUCAAACUUAGUAAUCCCAAUGCAAAGGAUCCACAAAUUACGUGCUCAUAAAAACAUAUGAUGCUCAUGAUAAGUAUUUAUGUGUAAGUUUAAUAGAGACAUUUGUAUGUACUGAUAUAUUUGGAAGUUUUGGAUCAUAUAUAUAAUUGGUAGCUAUUCAUAAAUUUAGAUGUAUGGCUACCCAGCUUCUUCCUUCUGGGAUUUAUCUAGCUAGACCAUGUUAUAUGACUUCACUAACAACACUACAUUCAUGUGUGUAUAUACAGUACAUUUUUGUUUAAAACAGGUAUUUUGAUAUUCUGGUGGGAGCCAGAUUUUAUUUUCUGGACACUUUGAGCCAGGUUUUAGCUUGAGCUGCUGCCCAAGACCCUAUUGUCAAAACCGAUCAGGUCAGCCAUUUAGUUUAGCGUGAAAUUAUGAAGCUGAAAUUUGAUUCAAAUUAAAUUAUCACAAUGACAAAAUUUAUGUCAAAGUGUUGCAACAUCAUAGAGAUCUGGUUCAAAUAAAAUUUACUCGCUUUACACUGCAAAAGAUUUACAGUUGAGUUUAUCGAUCCCAUGAUACAUUAUCCAAACCAUCCUUCUAUUUCACAGAUGCAUGGUUCUUUGUGGUGCUGCUUAAGCUUAACAAAAAGAGAAUCAUGCCAAGCGAGUUGCUGCUGUUGAAACUCGCAAAAGCAAAGAAUAGACACCAUGAUCAGGUACAAGAUGUGGAUCUGAUCAUCAUUCACGCAAUAAUGCUUGCAUACAAGCUGGCAAUAUAUCACGGGUUGAGUUAACACAACUUGAAUCAUUUUAUUCCACGUAUGUAUAUCAUUUUACAAAUAUGCGAACCAUGCAUUUAGAUAUCCUAUCGGAAUACAAUGAUCAACGACUAUCUUAUAAGCAGUCCCUGGAAGAAAUGAACACGUAAGCGUGCAUGCAUGCACGAGUGACGGGUGUGAUGGCAUGCAAACCAAAGACGAGUAUGACGACGACGACACAUGGUUUGUGAUGCAUGGUUCGAGGGAUGAUGGGUGGAUCAGCUGGGGCAGGUGAAGUCGGCGGGGCAGGUCUUGCCGCACUGGUUGAGGAGGAG